rnacentral:tRNA from 1 species
GGAAUAUAGCUCAGAUGGUAGAGUGUUUGCUUUGCAUUCACAAGGCCCUGAGUUUGAUCCCCAGCACCA